rnacentral:rRNA from 1 species
CAGCAGCCGCGGUAAUACGUAGGUGGCAAGCGUUGUCCGGAAUUAUUGGGCGUAAAGGGCUCGCAGGCGGUUUCUUAAGUCUGAUGUGAAAGCCCCCGGCUCAACCGGGGAGGGUCAUUGGAAACUGGGAAACUUGAGUGCAGAAGAGGAGAGUGGAAUUCCACGUGUAGCGGUGAAAUGCGUAGAGAUGUGGAGGAACACCAGUGGCGAAGGCGACUCUCUGGUCUGUAACUGACGCUGAGGAGCGAAAGCGUGGGGAGCGAACAGGAUUAGAUACCCAAGUAGUCCCUGUCUCUUAUAC